rnacentral:rRNA from 1 species
GGGUAUGCUGCCAAGUUGUUCCUGGAAAUAGCCCCACCGUAUAGACCGUACCCGAAACCGACACAGGUGGACUGGUUGAGAAUACCAAGGCGCUUGAGAGAACUAUGCUGAAGGAACUCGGCAAUUUGCCUCCGUAACUUCGGGAUAAGGAGGCCUGACUCUUACGCAAGUGGGAGUCAGGGGCACAGACCAGGGGGUGGCGACUGUUUACUAAAAACAUAGGUCUCUGCGAAGUCGCAAGACGACGUAUAGGGUCUGACGCCUGCCCGGUGCCGGAAGGUUAAAAGGAGGGGU